AAUCUCAACACAGUAGAGUUUCCCUGUGGGAUGAUUGAGGGAUGCAGAUAUGAGGUAAUUAAGUGAUUGCCCAUACCAAUACUGGUAGGGUGCCAGAAUGGAGUCAUAUAAUUAACUCUAUCCUGCACCUAAAGUCCCUUUUCCAAAAAAGUUGUUCAGUUGGAGAUAUUUGAAGGUCCAUAUGGCCAAGGACCACACUGUUUAAUAUUAUAUCUCCAGCAGUUAGCAUAGUGCCCAAUUCAUAGCACAUUUUCAGUAAAUACUUGUUGAAUGAGUAAAUGGAUAUUUAGUUUGGAUUCUAAAGGAUAAGUAAGAGUUUCUCUGAUGCAGAAGGGCUGGGUUCAUUCGGAGUUCUUUGAUUAAAAGCACCAGAAAAUUAUCUGGCUAGCUUAGGAAAAAGGAACUGAUGGGAAACUUGUCUAAAGAACAACUAGAAUCACAGGAAAACUGGAGAAUUAGUCUCAGGAAGCAGGACUGAGCCAGAAAUGGACUAACUCUUCAAGGAUCUUAUGAUGUUUAAAAUUCAAAUUCCAAGAAGAGAGAUAUUAAAUGAUCUGGCUUCGCCUUAAGUGAGGAAGAGGGGACCUGGAGUCAGCCAUAUGAAAUAUACCUGGAUUGAGAAGCCAUGCAGAUGGUUCAUGGGUUGCAGGUAGCACAAGAAAUAGCAGUGGAUACAGGGAAAGAAAAAAAAUCAACACGUGUGCACAGAAGACUUCCAGCAGGAAAGUUCAGUAUGCAAAGGCAGAGUGAUGAGGCACUAGGGGAAUGGUAACUGCCUGGAUGUGUGCAGAGAACUCGUGGCCUAGGCCAGGUGACACUGGGCUUUGUCUGCCAUGUUAAGGGACUUGGACUCUAUUCAGUAGGGUACUGGAUACCAGUAAGAUUUUAAGCUGUGAAGGACAUGGUCAGAUUUGUUUUUUAGAAAGAUUUCCGUGGCAUUUGGAGGGCGAAUGGAGUAGUAAAAGUGACUAGGUGGACAGUGGAAUCUGUCAAUGAACUGCAAAACAGGAGAUACAGAUUCAGGAGAAAGAGCAGUAUACAAGUUGGAGCCUCCAAUGAGCCACUGAAGAAAGAAGAAAGAUUUAAAAUGGGGGUCCAGAGGGCGUGGCCGGCCUGUGCCUGCAGCUGAUCUCCCAGCCCACUCAUUAAUCACCACCACCGCGCCAGCAGGAUGGUAGGCAUCCGGCGGGUGAACCACUGUCUUCCCAGAUGAGCCCAUGGACGCCGCUUGCGUGCUGGCCUCGCGUGGGCCAGUUGAUAUUAAUCGGUGGGACCGGGAGCUCGGGGAGUCCCUCGCGGGAUGGGGUGGGGAUGGUGGGGAGGGAGGUAAGAAAACCUUUGGGCUGGAGUCCUGAACUACCAGUAAGAGUUUUACAGAAGGUGGAGUUUAACAGAUGACUUGGCGAGCAAGCGGAAGCAGCAAGAGGGAAAGAGCUAGGGCUGAGACCUUGCCUGACUGUUUAGGGGAUGCAGAGUCACUUCCUGGAGCGCGGGUUUUGGAGACUGUAGAGAAGGGAGGGGAGGCUGCAGUGGCACGUUAGGGCCAGACAUCCCUUCCCCCACGUGUGUGGAGGGACACGAUCCUAGGACAAAGCUGCACAAGAACCCAGCAGCGAGGACCUGAGACAGCCCCGCAAGAUCGCUGGGGCACUGUUUGGGGCGGGCCUCGGGCUCCCCCUGGGGGUGACGCCCCGCAGUGCGUUCCAGCGAAGACCCGACGUCUGGGCUGAAAAAGACCCCUUCCUCAUUGCCUCUUCUGGUCCUUACUGGGCACCCACCAAGCGCGCCCAGCCGGUAACGCCCCUCUAAGGAGGCUCUGAACCCGGACCUGGCAUUGCAACGGACUCUCGGCUAAUCAGUCUCACGUCUCUGCUAGAGCCGGCCCCGCUCACGCUCAGGAUGAGUUGUAGGUCCUGGAGGUGUUUGGAGGAGGGGACAGGAAGGAGCCAGUCCAUUUUUUGAGAUGGGUACCUGGGAGACGGGCCUGCGCCCACUCCUGGUGAGCUUUGUCAAGGAGUAUCCCGGGAAAUCCAGUCCAGGCCUCUGAUGUGGGGAGACGCGGCCAACUCGGUGAGAAAGCCGUGACUCUCUCAAGAGGGGCCUGUCUCCUGUAAAAUGGAGGCAAUCAGCUUGAACUCCCACACAACAGUUUCACAGACAGCACUGCGCUCGCUUCCUGCUGGGCACUCAGUCACUGUCCUGCUGAAGCAGGAGGAGCCAGAGAUCCGCAAACAAGAACCAAAGCCCUGGCUUCCCUGGAGGCUCAGGGGUAAAGAAUCCACCCGCCAAUGCAGGGGGCACAGGCUUGACCCCUGUUCUGGGAACACCCUACACGCUGCGGAACAACUAAGCCCACACGCCUCAACUUCUGACCCAGUGGCCUAGAGCUCGGGAGCCUCAAGCACGGACCCCCGCGCCCUAGAGCCUGCGCCCCACAGCGGGAGAAACCACUGCAGUGGGCAGCCUGCACACCACACCUAGAGCAGUCCCCGCUCUCGGCAACUGGAGAAAAGCUUUCACAGCAACGCAGACCUGGCACAGCCAAAAAUAAAUUAAUUAAAGAACC